rnacentral:lncRNA from 1 species
UGGUGAAGUCAGUGGGAGGAUUGAGAUUAGCUAGUCUAUAUAUUUAACUCUAUUAAAUUGUGCUAAUCAAAUUCUCUAAAUUAUUAGAUCCAUAAAAUUAGCUAGUUAUGGUGAUAACUAGAUCAUAACCUCCCAUUAAGGUGAAUGGUAAUGGGUCUAUCAUUUUUGAUUGACAUUGCAGGAGCCAUCCAUCUGGUAUUUUUUUGAAUGAUAAAAUUAUUAUUCAUCAUAUGAUGAUUCUGUUGUACUAUCUGAUGAAUGGUUGAGUUGGUCGAGCCAUACUCG